rnacentral:rRNA from 1 species
UACGUAGGGGGCUAGCGUUAUCCGGAAUUACUGGGCGUAAAGGGUGCGUAGGUGGUUUCUUAAGUCAGAGGUGAAAGGCUACGGCUCAACCGUAGUAAGCCUUUGAAACUGGGAAACUUGAGUGCAGGAGAGGAGAGUGGAAUUCCUAGUGUAGCGGUGAAAUGCGUAGAUAUUAGGAGGAACACCAGUGGCGAAGGCGACUUACUGGACUGUAACUGACGCUGAGUCACGAAAGCGUGGGUAGCAAACAGGAUUAGAUACCCUGGUAGUCCCUGAGCGGG